AGCUUAGAACAAUGCCUUGCUAAUAAGCACUCAGUAUCGGCUAGCUGCUGUUGCUCAGUCUCAGCUUCCAGCAAGAAGCUCCCACCAGAGGAAGACAAGGAAAGUAGGUCUGGGUCGGUCCAAGGUGGUGAUGACCACUUGAGCGAAAGAGGCAGGGAAGCUGAGGGGUGGCUGAAUGGAACAGAGCUGAAAAGAGGAGCCAGUCCAAUGACUUGAUACUUUUUCUCAGAAGUGAAUUGGAGUCACUUUCAGUCUUAAUUGGAAUUGCUGUUCUUUCAUUCUGAGUACCAGGGCGACGCCAGGGAGCUGGUGACAUUGCUGCUUCGUCUGUUCCAGAGUGUCUGCUGGGCUAGCUGUAACUGCAACCUGGCAGUUCCACCUCUAAAUUCUCC